AUUUUUUAUAAGGGUAACCACUUCCCUCACUGAGGAAAGUGGUGAGUUUGAUGAGAAUUAGACCCUAUAAUAUCCUGACUCGUACUUCAUUGCAUCAUCAUCUCCAGAAGCCAUUGCCUUGUCUGUGCCAGAUGAUAAUUUGGGCACAGGCACAAAUCAAUACCAGGAAUGGGUGCGCUGGGAGCAUGCACUAAGAUGGCUGAAGACAUCGACACUAGAAGUAAAGUUCUUUGGUCAAACUAAACUCUUGAAAUUUUACCUUCUGAGAGUUUUACCUCAAGAAAAGAAAACAAACAGGGGAAGGAGGAGGAAGAAGAGGAUUGCAACCACAAGUAAAGCCACCAGGAUCACUUACUGGGAGGAUGCCCAUCAGUGUUCCUGAGAAGAGAUUAUAGUCUAGACACCAUAAAAUGAUUAGCAGAGACCCCUGCUUUGAAAAUAUAUUCCUGGAAUUUCUAUGGAAGGAACAAGAUUGUCUGUGGAAAGCCUUCAGGCAUGAAUAAG
rnacentral:lncRNA from 12 species